CAGUCACACGGUGGAGGAACAGUCACACGGUGGAGGAACAGUCACACGGUGGAGGAACAGUCACACGGUGGAGGAACAGUCACACAGUGGAGGAACAGUCACACAGUGGAGGAACAGUCACACGGUGGAGGAACAGUCACACAGUGGAGGAACAGUCACACAGUGGCGGAACAGUCACACGGUGGCGGAACAGUCACACGGUGGAGGAACAGUCACACAGUGGAGGAACAGUCACACAGUGGAGGAACAGUCACACAGUGGAGGAACAGUCACACAGUGGCGGAACAGUCACACGGUGGAGGAACAGUCACACAGUGGCAGAACAGUCACACGGUGGAGGAACAGUCACACAGUGGAGGAACAGUCACACAAUGGAGGAACAGUCACACAGUGGAGGAACAGUCACACAGUGGCGGAACAGUCACACAGAGGCAGAACAGUCACACAGUGGAGGAACAGUCACA
ensembl:lncRNA